UCAGUCGACUCCUACGGGGAGGCAGCAGUGGGGGAAUAUUGCACAAUGGGCGCAAGCCUGAUGCAGCCAUGCCGCGUGUAUGAAGAAGGACCUUCGGGUUGUAAAGUACUUUCAGCAGUGAGGAAGGUGGGUAUGUUAAUAGCAUACUCAUUUGACGUUAGCUGCAGAAGAAGCACCGGCUAACUCCGUGCCAGCAGCCGCGGUAAUACGGAGGGUGCGAGCGUUAAUCGGAAUUACUGGGCGUAAAGCGCAUGCAGGUGGUUUGUUAAGUCAGAUGUGAAAGACCCGGGGCUCAACCUCGGAAUUGCAUUUGAAACUGGCAAACUAGAGUACUGUAGAGGGGGGUAGGAAUUUCAGGUGUAGCGGUGAAAUGCGUAGAGAUCUGAAGGAAUACCGGUGGCGAAGGCGGCCCCCUGGACAGAUACUGACACUCAGAUGCGAAAGCGUGGGGAGCAAACAGGAUUAGAUACCCUGGUAG
rnacentral:rRNA from 1 species